rnacentral:rRNA from 1 species
AUUGAACGCUGGCGGCAUGCCUUACACAUGCAAGUCGAACGGCAGCACGGGGCAACCUGGUGGCGAGUGGCGAACGGGUGAGUAAUGCAUCGGAACGUACCUUUCAGUGGGGGAUAACGUAGCGAAAGUUACGCUAAUACCGCAUAUUCUGUGCGCAGGAAAGAGGGGGAUCUUCGGACCUCUUGCUUUCGGAGCGGCCGAUGUCAGAUUAGCUAGUUGGUGGGGUAAAGGCCUACCAAGGCGACGAUCUGUAGCGGGUCUGAGAGGAUGAUCCGCCACACUGGGACUGAGACACGGCCCAGACUCCUACGGGAGGCAGCAGUGGGGAAUUUUGGACAAUGGGCGCAAGCCUGAUCCAGCCAUGCCGCGUGAGUGAAGAAGGCCUUCGGGUUGUAAAGCUCUUUCGGCCGGGAAGAAAUCGCACCAGUUAAUACCUGGUGUGGAUGACGGUACCGGAAUAAGAAGCACCGGCUAACUACGUGCCAGCCGCCGCAGUAA